rnacentral:lncRNA from 12 species
GCCAUUCAACAAAAAUAUAUUGAAUGCCAACUCUGCACCAGGCCAUGUGCCAAGUCCAAAGUAGGGAAGUUUCAUUAUGUAAUAGAACAAGUCUGGGACAUUCUCUGGAUGAUGGGGCUACAGGGAACCAGAGAAGUAAACAAUUUGGGGGAAGAAUAAAAGCAUCCGGGGACUCAGAUGCAGCCGAGCCCAUCCUACACGUG